GUAUCAGAAGUGCGAAUGCUGACAUGAGUAACGACAAUGGGUGUGAAAAACACCCACGCCGAAAGACCAAGGUUUCCUGCGCAACGUUAAUCGACGCAGGGUUAGUCGGUCCCUAAGGCGAGGCUGAAAAGCGUAGUCGAUGGAAAACAGGUUAAUAUUCCUGUACUUCUGGUUAUUGCGAUGGAGGGACGGAGAAGGCUAGGCCAGCUUGGCGUUGGUUGUCCAAGUUUAAGGUGGUAGGCUGGAAUCUUAGGUAAAUCCGGGAUUCUAAGGCCGAGAGCUGAUGACGAGUUAUCUUUUAGAUGACGAAGUGGUUGAUGCCAUGCUUCCAAGAAAAGCUUCUAAGCUUCAGGUAACCAGGAACCGUACCCCAAACCGACACAGGUGGUUGGGUAGAGAAUACCAAGGCGCUUGAGAGAACUCGGGUGAAGGAACUAGGCAAAAUGGCACCGUAACUUCGGGAGAAGGUGCGCCGGUGAGGGUGAAGGACUUGCUCCGUAAGCCCAUGCCGGUCGAAGAUACCAGGCCGCUGCGACUGUUUAUUAAAAACACAGCACUCUGCAAACACGAAAGUGGACGUAUAGGGUGUGACGCCUGCCCGGUGCCGGAAGGUUAAUUGAUGGGGUUAGCUAACGCGAAGCUCUUGAUCGAAGCCCCGGUAAACGGCGGCCGUAACAAUAACGGUCCUAAGGUAGCGAAAUUCCUUGUCGGGUAAGUUCCGACCUGCACGAAUGGCGUAACGAUGGCGGCGCUGUCUCCACCCGAGACUCAGUGAAAUUGAAAUCGCUGUGAAGAUGCAGUGUAUCCGCGGCUAGACGGAAAGACCCCGUGAACCUUUACUAUAGCUUUGCACUGGACUUUGAAUUUGCUUGUGUAGGAUAGGUGGGAGGCUUUGAAGCGUGGACGCCAGUUCGCGUGGAGCCAACCUUGAAAUACCACCCUGGCAACUUUGAGGUUCUAACUCAGGUCCGUUAUCCGGAUCGAGGACAGUGUAUGGUGGGUAGUUUGACUGGGGCGGUCUCCUCCUAAAGAGUAACGGAGGAGUACGAAGGUGCGCUCAGACCGGUCGGAAAUCGGUCGUAGAGUAUAAAGGCAAAAGCGCGCUUGACUGCGAGACAGACACGUCGAGCAGGUACGAAAGUAGGUCUUAGUGAUCCGGUGGUUCUGUAUGGAAGGGCCAUCGCUCAACGGAUAAAAGGUACUCCGGGGAUAACAGGCUGAUACCGCCCAAGAGUUCAUAUCGACGGCGGUGUUUGGCACCUCGAUGUCGGCUCAUCACAUCCUGGGGCUGAAGCCGGUCCCAAGGGUAUGGCUGUUCGCCAUUUAAAGUGGUACGCGAGCUGGGUUUAGAACGUCGUGAGACAGUUCGGUCCCUAUCUGCCGUGGACGUUUGAGAUUUGAGAGGGGCUGCUCCUAGUACGAGAGGACCGGAGUGGACGAACCUCUGGUGUUCCGGUUGUCACGCCAGUGGCAUUGCCGGGUAGCUAUGUUCGGAAUAGAUAACCGCUGAAAGCAUCUAAGCGGGAAACUAGCCUCAAGAUGAGAUCUCACUGGGACCUUGAGUCCCCUGAAGGGCCGUCGAAGACUACGACGUUGAUAGGUUGGGUGUGUAAGCGCUGUGAGGCGUUGAGCUAACCAAUACUAAUUGCCCGUGAGGCUUGACC
rnacentral:rRNA from 1 species